CGACCUGCGACAGGUGCUGCAUGGCUGUCGUCAGCUCGUGUCGUGAGAUGUUGGUUAGUCCCGCAACGAGCGCAACCCUUAUCCCCAGUUGCCAUCAGGUAAAGCUGGGAACGUCUGGGAGACUGCCGGUGAUAAACCGGAGGAAGGCGGGGAUGACGUCAAGUCCUCAUGGCCCUUACAUCCCGGGCUACACACGUGCUACAAUGGCAGGUACAGAGGGCUGCGAAGCCGCGAGGUGGAGCGAAUCCCAGAAAACCUGUCUCAGUCCGGAUUGAAGUCUGCAACUCGACUUCAUGAAGGCGGAAUCGCUAGUAACCGCGAAUCAGCAGGUCGCGGUGAAUACGUUCCCGGGCCUU
rnacentral:rRNA from 1 species